rnacentral:lncRNA from 1 species
GUAAAAAACCAGGGCUGAAAUCAAUCAGCAGACAAAGCCAAGUGGAUUUCUGCACAUCUAAAGGCAGGAAAAGAAAUAGCACAAGAUCCUCUCAGUGCUGCAGAGAGGAGGAUUUUACUGCUGCUGAGCAAAGGCUGUGUGCAGCAUCUCCACAUGCCGGCAAAGGUGGGAUGACCCAGUGGCUGGAGCAGAAAGAAUAUCUUGGAUUAGGUGGCUGCAAAUGAGAGGUUUCAGUCAUGGAAUGGGAUGAGCUGCAGCUUGUGGCUGUUCAAGCUCAGCAGUGCUAAAACGUGACAUGGGCUCGCAGAGGACACGUGCAGCCCGUGGAGUGAACUGCAACCUGAACAGCUCUCCCAGCAGCUGAGGCUCCGUGUCCUUCUAGUAAUAAAUUCCUCCUGGACAGUGUUUCA